UACGUAGGGUGCAAGCGUUUAAUCGGAAUUACUGGGCGUAAAGCGUGCGCAGGCGGUUUUGUAAGUCUGACGUGAAAUCCCCGGGCUCAACCUGGGAAUUGCGUUGGAGACUGCAAGGCUGGAGUCUGGCAGAGGGGGGUAGAAUUCCACGUGUAGCAGUGAAAUGCGUAGAGAUGUGGAGGAACACCGAUGGCGAAGGCAGCCCCCUGGGUCAAGACUGACGCUGCAUGCACGAAAGCGUGGGGAGC
rnacentral:rRNA from 1 species